UGGGGAAUAUUGCACAAUGGAGGGAACUCUGAUCCAGCGACGCCGCGUGAGUGAUGAAGGAAUUCGUUUCGUAAAACUCUGUUCUAUGGGAAGAAAAGGACUGUACCAUAGGAGAAAGCUCCGGCUAAAUACGUGCCAGCAGCCGCGGUAAUACGUAUGGUGCGAGCGUUGUCCGGAAUUACUGGGCGUAAAGGGUGCGUAGGCGGCUUUACAAGUUGGAUGUGAAAUAUUGUGGCUCAACCACAAACGUGCAUCCAAAACUGCAAAGCUUGAGUGGAGGAGAGGUAAGUGGAAUUCCUUGUGUAGCGGUGGAAUGCGUAGAUAUCAGGAGGAAUACCGGUGGCGAAGGCGACUUCCUGGACUUAAACUGACGCUCAGGCGCGAAAGCGUGGGGAGCAAACAGG
rnacentral:rRNA from 1 species